GGGGGCUGUGUCUUAGUGGCAGAGCAUCUGUUUUGCAUGCAGAAGGCCCCAGGCUCAAUUCCCAGUAUCCCCA